rnacentral:SRP_RNA from 1 species
CCGCACUAGUUGGGGAGAUAGCGGUGCCCUGUACCUGCAACCCGCUACAGCAGGGAUGAAUCCCGGUCCCCGGAGCUGCGAUGUGUCGUCUGCCCCAGGUAAGCGGCGAUGAUAGAUUGGUCCUGCGCAACGGAAACCCGUGAACCAUGUCAGGCGGGGAACCGAGCAGCAUUAAGCGGAUCCUUCCGUGUGCCGCAGGGUUGCCGUUCUUGAGCUGGCUACCUGGGUUACGGACAUAGCGUAGUAUUCAAAGACCGGUGUGCGG